UACGUAGGGGGCUAGCGUUGUCCGGAUUUAUUGGGCGUAAAGAGCGUGUAGGCGGCCAGGUAGGUCUGCUGUGAAAACUCGAGGCUCAACCUCGAGACGUCGGCGGAAACCAUCUGGCUAGAGUCCGGAAGAGGAGAGUGGAAUUCCUGGUGUAGCGGUGAAAUGCGUUGAUAUCAUCAGGAACACCGGUGGCGAAGGCGGCUUUCUGGGUCUUACCUGACGCUGAGGAACGAAAGCCAGGGGAGCGAACGGG
rnacentral:rRNA from 1 species